AUUGAACGCUGGCGGCAGGCCUAACACAUGCAAGUCGAGCGGAGCGGCGGAAGGGUGAGUAAUGCCUAGGAAUCUGCCUGGUAGUGGGGGAUAACGUCCGGAAACGGGCGCUAAUCCCGCAUACUAUCAGAUGAGCCUAGGUCGGAUGUGCUAGUUGGUGGGGUAAAGUCAUACCAAGGCGACGAUCCCGAACUGGUCUGAGAGGAUGAUCAGUCACACUGGAACUGAGACACGGUCCAGACUCCUACGGGAGGCAGCAGUGGGGAAUAUUGGACAAGGGGCGAAAGCCUGAUCCAGCCAUGACGCGGGUGUGAAGAAGGUCUUCGGAUUGGAAAGCACUUUAAGUUGGGAGGCGUUACCAACAGAAUAAGCACCGGCUAACUGCGUGCCAGCAGCCGCGGUAAUAC
rnacentral:rRNA from 1 species